GACGAACGCUGGCGGCGUGCUUAACACAUGCAAGUCGAACGGAAAGGCCUCUUUCGGGGGGUACUCGAGUGGCGAACGGGUGAGUAACACGUGAGUAACCUGCCCUUGACUUUGGGAUAACUUCAGGAAACUGGGGCUAAUACCGGAUAGGAGCUCCUGCCGCAUGGUGGGGGUUGGAAAGUUUCGGCGGUUGGGGAUGGACUCGCGGCUUAUCAGCUUGUUGGUGGGGUAGUGGCUUACCAAGGCUUUGACGGGUAGCCGGCCUGAGAGGGUGACCGGCCACAUUGGGACUGAGAUACGGCCCAGAAUCCUACGGGAGGCAGCAGUGGGGAAUAUUGCACAAUGGGUGGAAGCCUGAUGCAGCAACGCCGUGUGCGGGAUGACGGCCUUCGGGUUGUAAACCGCUUUCGCUCAUGACGAAGCUUUGUGUGACGGUAGUGGGUAAAGAAGCACCGGCUAACUACGUG
rnacentral:rRNA from 1 species